rnacentral:rRNA from 1 species
UACGGGGGGAGCAAGCGUUAAUCGGAAUUACUGGGCGUAAAGUGUGCGCAGGCGGCUGAGCAAGUCGAGUGUGAAAGCCCCGGGCUUAACUUGGGAAUUGCGCUCGAAACUACUUGGCUUGAGUGUGGCAGAGGAAGGUGGAAUUCCACGUGUAGCGGUGAAAUGCGUAGAGAUGUGGAGGAACACCGAUGGCGAAGGCAGCCUUCU